UGUGCAUCUCUAAGUAUUAAUUUUUGUCUACUUUCCUCUCAGAUAAUGUGAACCAAGGCUCACAAAAUUUUUUUGCUCAUAACUAAGGAUAUUUUCCCUUCUGCCAGUACACUAUUAUUGGGGGGGAGGGGAGUGAGGUGCAGAAUAUAGAAAAAUCUGGGUAAUUAAAGAGUAAAUUUCCUUAUCUUUAGGAGAAGAAAUGCAGCCGGAGAAGAGGAAAGAGAAGGAAUCAUACACACUACUCACUCCCAUCAACCAGCCAAAACGAGAUCCUUGACUACACAUUCCAGCAUCAGGAAGCUGCACAGAGGUUGGUCUCCUGCUGGAAAGCUGCUCCACAUUUUAUUGUUGGAUAGAAUGGAACGUCCCUUAUUCACACUCAAGAGUUCUCUCUAUCUAAAGCCUGUAAACAAAGAAGGAAAAAAGACAAUGUAGGUUGAGACCAUUCAAGUUUUGCUUUUAAUAGGUGGAUGAACAAGAUUAAAGUAAAUCUUUUCUCUGAACAAAAAUCUCUCAAGGUUAUUGUGUCACUUGAAAAUGUAAUAAUGACAGAUGCAUAUUAAUACUUCUUUC
rnacentral:lncRNA from 1 species